AGUGAACGCUGGCGGUAGGCCUAACACAUGCAAGUCGAACGGCAGCACAGAGGAGCUUGCUCCUUGGGUGGCGAGUGGCGGACGGGUGAGGAAUACAUCGGAAUCUACUCUGUCGUGGGGGAUAACGUAGGAAAACUUACGCUAAUACCGCAUACGACCUACGGGUGAAAGCAGGGGAUCUUCGGACCUUGCGCGAUUGAAUGAGCCGAUGUCGGAUUAGCUAGUUGGCGGGGUAAAGGCCCACCAAGGCGACGAUCCGUAGCUGGUCUGAGAGGAUGAUCAGCCACACUGGAACUGAGACACGGUCCAGACUCCUACGGGAGGCAGCAGUGGGGAAUAUUGGACAAUGGGCGCAAGCCUGAUCCAGCCAUACCGCGUGGGUGAAGAAGGCCUUCGGGUUGUAAAGCCCUUUUGUUGGGAAAGAAAUCCGUCUGGUUAAUACCCGGGUGGGAUGACGGUACCCAAAGAAUAAGCACCGGCUAACUUCGUGCCAGCAGCCGCAGUAA
rnacentral:rRNA from 1 species